UACGUAGGGCGCAAGCGUUGUCCGGAAUUAUUGGGCGUAAAGAGCUCGUAGGCGGCUUGUCACGUCGGAUGUGAAAUCCCAGGGCUUAACCCUGGGCCUGCAGUGGGUACGGGCAAACUAGAGUGCGGUAGGGGAGAUCGGAAUUCCUGGUGUAGCGGUGAAAUGCGCAGAUAUCAGGAGGAACACCGGUGGCGAAGGCGGAUCUCUGGGCCGUAACUGACGCUGAGGAGCGAAAGCAUGGGUAGCGAACAGG
rnacentral:rRNA from 1 species